CAAAUCCUCAGGAUGCUCGGCGGCCUGGAAUACUUCAAGGUCAGGGAUUUCAACGAUGAACUUCAUUUUUCUCUACCAGAAACCCGCUUUGAGUGCGUGGAGGCAGGCUAUGUAACGCAGCCAGCGUGCCUCCACAAGUCCACUUUUCCUUAUCCAGAUCAGCGCUUACUGGUGCAGGUUGGUGCGUCCAUUCUUGAGACCGAUAGCGCACAAGUA
rnacentral:rRNA from 1 species